rnacentral:lncRNA from 1 species
CUCUCCAACUAAAUACAUAGAGACUCUCCGACAGUAAGAUACAAGAUCUCUCCAUACACGUACGAUUUACAUAGAGACUCUCCAUACAGUAAGAUACAUAGAGACUCUCCAGACAGUAAGAUACAUAGACUCUCCAUACAGUAAGAUACAUAGAUACUCUCCAUACAGUAAGAUACAUAGACUCUCCAUACAGUAAGAUACAUAGAGACUCUCCAGACAGUAAGAUACAUAGAGACUCUCCAGACAGUAAGAUACAUGAUACUCCCAACAGUAAGAUACAUAGAGACUCUCCAACAGUAAGAUACAUAGACUCUCCAGACAGUAGUAGAUAGUACCUACCUAGAGACUCUUCCAAGACAGUAAGAUACAUAGAUACUCUCCAUACAGUAAGAUACAUAGACUCUCCAGACAGUAAGAUACAUAGACCUCCGACAGUAAGUACAUAGAACUCAUACAGUAAGAUCACAUGACUUCACGUAA